CUGAGUGCAUGAAGGAUGGACCGAGCAUUCGUGAAGGUCGCUAGCGGGCUUGGCCAAGGCGAGAAACGGGGCUGACGUAUGUCACCGUUGGCCUAUUGUCUGACCUGACAAGGACAUGUUGGCCCUGUAGGAAUGGACAAAAGUUUGAAGUUUGAAGGGAUUGAAGUGCCGAUAGACACUUUGCUGAGAGAAGCACGUACCUGUGGAUAGACUAGUUCAAGCAGAGUGAGGUCACCCACAGCUGGAUAGUUGAGUUAAGGAGACCAAGCAGAACCACUACAAUCAUGGAGCCCAGGAAGCUUCAGACACAUCUAGUAUGUGGCUGAUGUUGCAGUGCAAAACAGGCAAUGGUGAGGGCUGGGGAGGCUGGCUCCUGUGCUACACCUAUGCUAUGUGUAAACAAACGUGUGACUUGAAGCAGGACUCCAGAGGAGACUAUGGUCGUUGAGGUCAGAGGAGUUCUGCCAGCUUAUCGAGGCCCUGUGCCUUGCGCUAGGUGUGCUGAUUCUUCCCAACAGAUGGCGCCAAGGGGGUAUCCACUGCUAAUUGCUUGGAGUGAUGCCCGAGGCACCGCGUUGCUGGUGACCGGACUGUCUGUCCCAGGGUCGGAGCUGCAGGAGAAGGCUGAGACUUCUUGGGGAUCCUCCAGUUCUGUGAGGGAGGACUCCUAGUGACGACCUGGGUGAAUGUGGGCUUCUGGGGAUUCAGGGCUGGCUUCUGGGGAUUCAGGGCUUGCUUCUGUGGUAACAGAGCCCAGCGCCUCACUCUCGUUUUCUUAGAAUUUAACCUGGCCUGGUGGGAUCGAUCUGUCCAUUCAGGUAGGGCAGCGCAUUUGAUUGCCUUCGAAGAAAGGUCAGUUAUUGACUCCUGCCCUACCUCUUCAGCCUGGCUGGGUAGCACAAACUGAGCAGAGGAUAAAUUCUUCUGUGGUGUAAUCCAUCUGCUGGUCAAAGGGUGCUGCCUAAUGUGGCAAGAGACAUGCCGUCGUCCUCACAUCCGGAUUCGUCGGCAUUAAUGUCCACCCCCUGGUAAAAGUGGGGAAUUCUCCGAAUCAGCCUGAAGCGCAGACUGAGGGGAUGCCUAAAGUAGCUUCUCCCUCUGGGACUUCGUUGUCAACUGAGUUGUCCUCGUGCAGGUAUGAGGCCUGGGCAAUACUUUCCAUGUACUUCAUGUCUAAGGACACGAGUCCAGCUGAGCUCAAUGCACACAACUAGCGGGGUCGAUGGGAGCCUCCAUAGCGUCCCGGACGUGUAAUGCCUGCAGUUGCCAGGGUGAGCGUUGCUAGGCUUUUGCUGCUUUUUCUCCCCUUUCCCUGACUACUUGGCCGGUAAGCCUGUUGGACAUUGCGUUUCGACAGGACGGACAAAAGCAAAUGGAAUUACCGGGGGGCUAGCUAGCCACUCCACGCGCUGCUCCUACAAUGGGAAUUUGGGAGAGACACUGGGUAAUGUGAGUUUGAGCCAGGUAAGCAGAAACGGACUGCUUUAUUUAGCAGGGUGGUGAGAAAUAAAUGCCGUCUUUAAACUUUCAGUGUAGUGAAUUAGCUGGCUUUCUUAACCUGAGUUUAGAUAGCCAGCUAGCCGAGGCGUUGCGUGGGAUACAAAGUGCUGACUCGGUCUAUAAACCAAGUAACUUGAGGUAGAACGAACAGCUGGGUUAUCUUUCACAGGGGAAUGAAAAAAAGGUGCUUCAAUGUGUUACGGAGUCUAGUUGAUAGGUAAUCGACUAGCCGGACUGUUCCCCGGACUCGAGUUGUAGCCAUUCGUACAAUGCACAAACAAGGCAAUUGAACCUAACAUUGGUGUCUGUCGUUAUUCCUUUAUCUAACAUAUCAUACUGAAACAUGGUAUCAGAAGUGGCUCGGAUAACACACGUUUGUUAUUUUUGUAGCUAAGUACAGUAUAGGCGCAGUUACGUUCCAUAUGCGAACACACGCCGUUUCCUACUCACAACACUGAUGAACUCGUUGUUAGCUGCCUAGCUAGCAUCACUACCUACGUCGAUGACUGAAGGCAAAGAAAUCUCAUAUUCCAUUGCUAUGGCAGCGAACAUUCCGCCACCAAAUCCCAUGGUUCUCACAGGGGACUGGAAUACUAAUUGGGACAACUUCAGGGAUGAAUUCGAGGACUAUGCGCUGGCGACCGGUCUACAUGAGAAACCCAACGAGGUACAAGCAGCAACUCUGAGGAGUUUAAUGGGCAGCGAAUGCAGGCAUAUCUACCGGCACAAUCUCACCCUCACAGUACGUCAACAGUGUGAUGCAAAGGCUAUAUUGGAUGCAUUGGAGAAUUACUUCAAACCCGCCAGAAACGUAAUUUAUGAGCGGUUCGUUUUCGGAAGCUGUAAACAGGAAGAGGGUGAGUCAGUACACAACUUUGUAACCCGUUUGAGAGAGAAAUCCGCCACUUGUGAAUACGGGGGAUUGAAAGAUGAAUUGAUUCGUGACAAAAUAGUGCUGGGAAUUGCAAAUGAGGAUACACGCCGGCGUCUACUGAGAGAGAGAGACUUAACAUUAGUAACUGCCAUUGAAAUGUGCCGCACUGCUGAAGUCACUGACAUGAGAAUGAGAGCAAUAGAAAUCGAAACCCCACGCUCCGACGUUGAUACCGUUCACGCUGUUGCUAGGCAGACAUUCAGACUAAAUCAAUCGAGGCAGAGCAAUUCACCACGAACGGUGAACACAGAGAGCCCCGUAGCAUGUAAAUACUGUGGGAAUACACACACGUGGCAAAGAGCACUGCCCUGCCUACGGAAAACCAUGCAGAGCUUGUGGAACUAAUAAUCAUUUUGCAAAAGUGUGUCUCAAAAGCAAAAGAAGGGUGAGUGAGGGCAAGAUUCACUGUGUUGAUGUCAUUCAAUGUUCAGAGCUGAAAAGUGAAAGUGACAUUUACAUGCAUGAAUCCAUUGGGGCUGUACACUCAAGAGGGAAGAAAUGGUUUGUGACACUACGAUUACACAACAAGCAACAACAAUGUCAACUGGAUUCUGGUGCUACAUGCAACGUAAUGAGCUACAAAGACAAAAUCAAUCUGGCACCUGACACACAUCUAUUGCCCAGCGAUACUAGACUAAAGCUGUACUCAGGAGAGCUAAUGAGCUCUAUGGGCACCUUUGAGACCGAAUGUGUUAUUCGGGGACGCAAACACAAGCUGGAGUUUGAGAUUGUAAAAACCAGUCAACAUCCUCUCCUCUCAGGCUCUACAUGCGAACGCCUGGGACUGAUGCAGUUCACUGUACCAAAUGACCUGCACAUUGUGGAUCAUGUCCAGCAUGGACCCCUGUCCAAAGAACAACUACUUAGCAGAUAUGACGAUGUAUUCAACAUGCCCAUUGAAUCAGUGCCUGGGGAGGUACACUUUGAAGUGGAUGAGAGCAUCACUCCAGUCCAGUGUGCUCCUCGCAAUGUGCCCAUUGCAAUGAAAGUGGCUGUGAAGGCCCAGCUGGACAAGUAUGAGGCCGAUGGCCACAUGACAUCUGUGACUGAACCAACUGACUGGAUCAGCAAUAUGGUCAUAGUGAAAAAACCAGAGAAGCUGAGGGUCUGUAUCGACCCAAAGCAUUUGAACCAAGCACUGAAACGAUCCCACUACAUCAUGCCGACACUAGAGGAUGUCCUCUAUAAGCUUCCCAAGGCCAGGAUUUUCACCUUGGUGGAUGCCCGAGAUGCAUUCCUUCAAUGCAAGCUGGAUGAAGAAAGCAGCCUCAUGACUACCUUCUGGACCCCCUGGGGUCGGAAACGCUGGCUCAAGCUCCCGUUUGGUGUCUCGGUGGCGUCUGAGAUAUACCAACGUAAGCAGCACGAGUUACUGGCUGGGCUCAAGGGCAUUGAACCCAUCGCAGAUGAUGUCCUGAUCGUAGGCUGUGGUGACACAGACGAAGAAGCAGUACGCGACCACGAUGUGAAGCUCCUGGCACUGAUGGAGCGCUGCCGAUCAGUUAAGCUUCGCCUUGGCCUGAAGAAGCUGCAGUUCAAGGUGAAAGACUUCCAUGGCCACAUUCUCUCGGCAAAAGGCCUGAAGCCAGACCCAGACAAGGUCAGAGCGAUCCUCGACAUGCCAAACCCGUCUGAUGCAAAAGGAGUACAGCGUCUCAUCGGCUUUGCAAAGUUCAUGCCACACCUAUCAGCAGUCUGUGAGCCUCUGCGCCGGUUGCUGGACAAAGAUACACCAUGGCACUGGCUACCCAAGCACGAGGCCGCAGUGCAGAAGAUGAAAUCUCUGGCUUCAUCCAUGCCAGCGUUGCGCUACUACGACGUCAUGAAGCCUGUCACAAUCCAGAGCGACUCCAGCCAAAGGGGACUUGGAUGCUGCCUUAUGCAGGAAGGCCAGCCCGUUGCGUUUGCCUCGAGAGCGCUCACCCCCACCGAACAAAACUAUGCACAAAUUGAGAAAGAGUGCCUCAGCAUCGUCUUCUCCUGCCAGCGAUUCCAUCACUACUUAUAUGGGCGAGACCUGGUCAUCGCUGAAACUGACCACAAACCACUCAUUGCCAUAUUCAGUAAACCUCUCCUCAACGCGCCCAAGAGGCUUCAAAGCAUGCUCCUGACUCUGCAAAACUACAGCCUGAAGGUCAUUUACAAGCCAGGACCAGAGAUGUACAUCAGCGACACACUGAGCAGGGCAACAACACAAUGUACAGGCAGAGGCACUGUCUAUCAGCGGCAGGCCAUCUGUUCGCUACAGCAGGAACAACAAGAUGUUCAACAGAUCAAUCAGGCAGACUACUUAAACGUCACAGAUCACCGCCUAGCCCAGAUAAGGCAACACACUGACAAGGACGAACGCCUACAGUCACUGAAGUCCAUGGCUCUCGCAGGUUGGCCAUACCUGAAAGAGGAGACACCUUUCACAGUGAGAGAAUACUGGACCUUUCGAGAUGAGAUCAGCGUGCAAAAUGGCAUCUUGUUCAGAGGUCAGAAGGUCAUUAUUCCCAAAUCACUACGUCCAGAGAUGCUUACUCGCAUACACUCCAGUCACGUUGGAGGUGAUGCAUGCUACCGCCAGGCUCGUGAAACAUUAUACUGGCCAAACAUGCAAGCAGAAAUUAAAGACUUUGUCAGCAACUGUACCACAUGCAAUGAGUACGCUCAUGAACAGAAAAAGGAAACCAUGAUGUCACACGAACUGCCCACAAGGGCCUGGCAAAUCGUCAGCAUGGACUUAUUCAGCCACAGACAAAAGGACUAUCUUCUCAUCAUUGAUCACUACUCUGACUUUUGGGAAAUUGAACUGCUCCCUGACUUGUCUGCAGAGACGGUCAUAAAGCGCUGCAAGGCGCAGUUUGCAAGGCAAGGUCAGCCUGACAAGGUAAUCACGGACAAUGGCCCACAAUUCACUGCGCAGUUCAAGCGUUUCGCCUCAGAAUGGGAGUUUGACCACGUGACCUCCUCUCCAAGACACCCAAAAGCAAAUGGCAAGGCAGAAUCAGCUGUCAAGAUUGCAAAAAACCUGUUAAGCAGGGCCUUGCGCGACAGCAACGACCCAUGGAAAGCGAUCUUACAGUGGAGGAACACACCCACUGAAAACAUGGACAGCAGCCCAGCACAACGCCUUCUGUCCAGACGUCUGAAGACUACCAUCCCCGUAGCUAACAAGCUACUUGAGCCCUGCGUCAUGGUUGGCGUCACGGACAAACUGCGUCACAGAAAGCAGCUCGCUAAGUGCUUCUACGACCGGACUGCUCGGGACCUACCAGAGCUGGAGGUGGGUGAAACGAUAAGGAUGAAACCGCUGCCGGGAGACCACACAGGACUUUGGAGGCUGGGCACAUGCCUGCAGAGAGUUGCACCACGUUCUUACCUGGUGGAUGUUGGUGGCUCCCUCUAUCGUCGCAAUCGGGUGAUCUGCGCGUAGCAGAGCAGACAAACCAGAACACGCCAUUCACUCACCUAGAUGAGCUGGAUCACAGUCCAGGCCUAAGGGUAAGGGGUGCAGAAUUGAGACAUGGGCCAACCGAAGGUGAGGCUUCUACCCCACCAAGCUCUCCAGCUCGUGCCCCUAAUCCUACCCCUGUCAGAGCCAAUACUUACUCACGGGUGGGUCGGCUGUGCAAGCCACCGGACAGGACAGGCUUACUCUGUAAGCAAGGGACUGUUAACUUGCCCUCGGUUAAUUAAAAUCUAUAUUUGUUCUUCAAUAAUUAAAUUGAAAGUAAAAAAGGAAGAUGACAACUGAAGUAAAAAAGAAAUGUAAUGCUUUUCUAUUGUUAUGACCUGACUGUUAAGAAUUUAAUGUUAUGCCUUUAUGUUUGCACUUUCUAUUGAAAAGGAUGAUGUUACGGAGUCUAGUUGAUAGGUAAUCGACUAGCCGGACUGUUCCCCGGACUCGAGUUGUAGCCAUUCGUACAAUGCACAAACAAGGCUAUUGAACCUAACAUUGGUGUCUGUCGUUAUUCCUUUAUCUAACAUAUCAUACUGAAACACAAUGGUGGGGUAACACACUGAAGAAACAAACGCUCAUGCUAGCCAAACAAACCGAAUGGGGCUUUAGCCCAGAGAUUGCUAGCUAAAACACCAGUGGUGCGGUUAGCCCACUAGCUAGCCAAGAUACACGAAAGUUCAGCUAGCUAACUCCGAAAGUGGGAACCGACAGAGCUAGAGACCCCGGGUAGAAGUAGCUAAAAUUUGUGGGAACCUGCUAUUAGCAGGACGCUAAAGCAGUGCAGCUAGCGAUGCCAAUUGUGUGUAUGCCAGGCAACCGGUGUACAGUAUCUAGCCGAUGACAAAAAGUGCUGCUAACUGAGGUAACUUCACUCUGUAAAGUGAAGCUGAAGUUAGCAGUAUUCCUGAAAAAUAGAAAACAAGCCACUCAAUGCUAUGUGUUGGGGUAGUAACCCACACUGAAAGGAACUGUUAAGUUGAGAGCUAGUUUACUGAAUAAAGCUGCUUAUCGGGCUAGUAACCAGAUGGACUCGAGGCUAAGAAUGAGGAAACCAGUGCAGUGUGUUAUAAGACACUCGGGGCGUACACACACUGCUCUGAUUGGCCUGUUAGGCGGGAUUGAAUAAAGCUUCAAAUAAUGACCCGCAAAAGGGGCCGUGUCGCAGUUCUUGACACAAACUGGUGUGCCUGGCACCUACUACCAUACCCCGUUCAAAGGCACUUAAAUAUUUUGUCUUGCGCAUUCACCCUCUGAUGUCUCAAUUAUCUCAAGGCUUAAAAAUGAUUCUUUAACCUGUCUCCUCCCCUUUUAACAACGGAUCAUAGCUUUCACCUGGUCAGGUUGUUUUGUACCCUCAAGUGUAUCUGCAGGUGUUUUUCUGUUUUUUUCGUCUCACAUUUUAGGGGUUUGCAUUUUUGAAUGCUAUGGAUCCCCCUGUAUACAAGAUUCUACUUCCAACCUGCCGGUAAACCUAUAUAAUUUAAGGCAGUGUGCAAGGUAUUUUUUAAAGUACAUUUCUAGUAAAGUUAUACCAAUCAUGGCAAUACAGUUUGCAUGAGAGGCUAUUUUGAGCCUAAUAAUCAGGUUUAAUUGUUUAAUGAUGCAAUUUACGAGGUUUAUACUGAAAUGUUUAUCUUCUCAUACGAUUAGUCUUCUAAAAGCUGUAAUUUUCAGACACUGAAUCUUGAAAUAUUUUUUGCUGUGUACUCGUAAUAAUCUCUAAGCGUACAAGUUACAACACAUGUAUCAGGAUAUUUGUACUUGAUAUUUUGACAAUUUGAGUCAAACUUUUUUAUUAAAAAAAUAAAUAAAUAAUAUUCUGAGUACAAACAUGUGGAGGGACACUGUUUGUUUUAUCCCUGAACAGGGAGGGCUGUCUUUAACAGCAUAAGUGUCACUGUGUUUUAGAUGAGGGAUAUACAACCUCUGCACGGAUUUGACCUAGCUAGUACGACUCCAAGUUCAGAGUGUGGACAGACCUCUGUACCGCGGCACAUAUCAUUGCUUCCAGUCUAUCGUAAGGCAAGAGUCGGUGA